UAACAAAACAGGGGUGGCAGAGAACAAAAAAACACUCCAACACUACAGCAGUCAGUCAGUUUUGGGUUGGGUGGCACUUUAAAUCGCAACGAUAGUCUAGGCACACGACAAAGACGCAUUUACACAGAUACACAACUUCGUAGCGGGAGUUACUCGGGCAGUCAGUGAGUCAGUUGAAAGCUUCUUGGCGGCUGUCACGGAGGGAUUGGUUUCGGCCCCGUGGUGUUGGUUGGAGCCGCAUCUUUGAGCCGAGAUAAAAGACAUUGAUGACAACAACAGCCGAAUCACUAUAUAGUUCGAUAGGAGGAAAUGGCCGCCCAGCUCAAAGCUACCCCGAAGCAUCAGAUCGACCGACAGCAUUGCGAGAAUGUGAGACACCGGAGAUGGAGAAAGCUAUAGGUAGCUAGCUUAUUUGGCUACUUGGUUGGUGGAUGCUGGGAAACGUUCGAAAGUGAUAGACCUUUGGCUGUUACGACGACUGCGACCGUGAUAGUAUGUGUGACAGAGAGGCAAACACGAACUUUCGAUACGGGACCAGUAAGAUACCAGGGCAGCAGCCGGCUAAAUCUUUGUAGAUAUGAUGGCUCCUUGGAUACCCUCUGCUUGUCCGGCACCAAAGUCGAGGAGUUCGCCCUUGGUAGGGCGCAGUCCAUUCAGGCGAAAGCUCUUGUUUGCUAUGGCGAUGACCGCCAAGGCGAAAGUGAAGCUUCUGACUUUGGCCAUUGUUCACAAGGACGGACGAGUUCUUCUUGGUAUGAAGAAGCGCGGGUUCGGAGAAGGGUAUUUCAAUGGGUUUGGUGGGAAGGUAGAGGACGGGGAGACGAUUGAACAGGCGGCGGCAAGAGAGCUGGAGGAAGAAGCUGGAAUUACUCCCACGAAAAUGGACAAGCGUGGCAUUCUCACUUUCCAUUUCGACGACAAGCCAGUGCCAUGGGAGGUCCAUGUUUACCAUGUCGAGCAUUUUGUUGGCGAUCCUUGCGAAACAGAAGAAAUGUGCCCUCGUUGGUUCUUAACUCAAGAGAUCCCCUUCGACAAAAUGUGGAAGGACGAUCCCAUCUGGUACCCCCACUUUCUUCAAGGAUCAAUGUUUCGAGGCAGUUUUGUUUUCGAAAACACACACGAUCUGGUUUCACACAGCUUUGAGAUCGUCUCGGCUCUCUAGAAAGAAGCAAAUACAUAGCCAUCCUAGAGUAUUCCACCAUUCAGCGAGAUAGAUAUUUUAGCUACGUACACUUCUAGUAGCGCAACACAGCAAGGUAGCUCAAGUAUUUUAUUCAGUCUUAGUUGGAUACCUUACCAGGAGACAAAGACCAAGCUGUCCUUAGAUCAUUUCUUUUAUCAGGAGAAAGCCUCCAUGGUCAGCUUGUUGCUUUCAAGAAAUCUCAACUCUCGAGUUGAGUGCUUAAAGCAUUUUGUUUAAGUGCUGGAAAAUGUGUUGCAGCGAGUUCCAUCAUUCGAGACAAGCGCCUUUGCGUCUCGGACCGCAACAAUUGGCAAUGAAUGGAGAAGUACCUCCUCUCUCCUUGAAGGCGAGGAGGAUGAGAUCAAAGAAGAAUAUGACCAGUGAGCAGUCGAAAUCAAUCGGUUUGCAUUAAGGAGCAGAGCAAGCUGAAGUUUCCCAUGAAAUGUGGCGUUGCAGUAGCAGCAAGCAAACACAGAGGACAAAGCCAUAACAGAAGAGCAAACUUGACGUUUCAUCCCGUCUCGGCGGACGCGUUCGAUCCCCUCCUUUUUCUUUUGGCUUUCGUGCUCCAGAUGCUAAAGAGGAAUCCACCAGAGAUUUGGGAACAAAGAUGAAGCAGCAGCAGCAACAGGAACAGCAGCAGCAGCAGCAGCUUUUUCAUUUCUUGGCACAUAGGAGAGGUGCUGUUGGUGGAUUUGACGAUGGUGCGUGAGCCAUUUUUUUCCUCCUUUGCAUUCAUUCAUUAGCCUGCGCGCGAGGCCUGACUGUGAAACCAGCUGGAGCUCUGCAUUAUCUCUGCUGCUCCUCACGGGCCCUCCCCAUUUCCAGCUUUACAAAGCCCACCACCUUCGCCUUUUAUCAAGACUUCCCUUUUGGAAGCCUCUCAUCCACAAAGGUGGAAGCAAAGCAAAGGAGCAACCGCUUAUACAAAAGCUAUGAUGGAUCAUUGUAUUUUUAACAAAAAGCUUGGCCAAA